rnacentral:rRNA from 1 species
AACGAACGCUGGUGGCGUGUCUUAUACAUGCAAGUCGAGCGAGGCAGCAAUGCCGAGCGGCGAACGGGUGAGUAACGCGUAAGCAAUCUGCCCCAUAUCAGGAAAUACCCGUGCCAACGUGCGGUUAAUGUCCAGGAGAGUGGCCCUCUGCAUGGAGGGUUGACUAGAGAUUUAUCGGUAUGGGAUGAGCUUGCGUCCGAUUAGCUAGUUGGCGGGGCAACGGCCCACCAAGGCGACGAUCGGUAGCCGGCCUGAGAGGGUGAUCGGCCACAUUGGGACUGAGAUACGGCCCAGACUCCUACGGGAGGCAGCAGUAGGGAAUAUUGCACAAUGGGGGGAAACCCUGAUGCAGCAACGCCACGUGUGGGAAGAAGCAUUUCGGUGUGUAAACCACUGUCAUGAGGGAAUAAGGCCCGCCUUCGGACGGGAUUGAAUGUACCUUGAGAGGAAGCACCGGCAAACUUCGUGCCAGCCGCGGC